CAUCACUGUACAUGAUAACCAGGAGGUCGUUACCCGCGGUACAGCAGACACCGCCAGGUCUCCACCCCUGUAGUGUGAUCACGAUUGGGUUGACUGGGACAAUGAACAUCCAGAUAUUUUAUGUACAUACAGCGUGUAUGAUUAAAAUUUUGUUUCACUCGCGCA